UUGAAGAUACAGACAAAAGACACACCUCCUACAGCAAAAGAAGUACUAAGAGGAAAGUUUAUAGUGAUAAGCACCUACAUAACAAAAAACUUCAAAUAAACAACCUAAUGAGGCAUCUUAAGGAAUGAGAAAAGAGCAAACUGAAUACAAAAUUAGUAGAAGAAAAGAAAUAAUAAAGUUCACAGCAAAAAUAAAUGAAGAAAACAAUACAAAAGAUCAAUAAAAUAAAAAUUUGUUUUUUUGAACAGAUGAACAACAUUGACAAACCUUCAGGCAGACUAAGAAAAAAAAGAGCAAAAAACCCAAAUAAAUAAAAUUAGAGAUGAAAGAGGAGACAUUGCAGCUGAUUUCACAGAAAUUCAAAGUAUCAUUACAGGCUGCUAUGAACAACUAUAUGCCAAUAAAUGGGAAAACCUGGAAGAAAUGGAUAAAUUUCUAGAAAAAUACAACCUACCAAGAUUGAACCAUGAAGAAAUCCAAAACCUGAACAGAUCAAUAACAAGUAAUAAGAUCGAAGCUGUAAUAAAAAGUCUCCCAGAAAAGCAAAGCCUAGGAUUCAAUGGCAUCACUGCUGAAUUUUAUCAGACAUUAAAAAAGAGCUAAACCCUAUUCAAAUUAUUCCAAAAAACUUAUUCUACAAGGCGAGUAUUACACUAAUACCAAAACCAGACAAAGAUGCAUAAAAAAAGAAAACAAUAUGCCAAUAUCCCUUAUGAACAUUGAUGCAAAAAUCCUCAACAAAAUACUAGUAAACCAAAUUUAACAGUACAAUAAAAUGAUCAUUCAUCAUGACCAAGUUGGAUUUAUCCCUGGGAUGUAAGAAUGGCUCAACAUAUGCAAAUCAAUCAAUGUCAUACGUCAUAGCAAUGAAGGACAAAAACCAUAUGAUCAUUUCAAUUGAUGCUGAACAAGCACUUAACAAAAUUCAACAUUUAUUCAUGAUAAAACCCUAAAAAAAUUGGAUCUAGAAGGAACAUACCUUAGCACAAUAAAAGCCAUUUACAACAGACUCAUAGCUAGUAUAAUACUGAAUGAGGAAAAACUAAAAGCUUUUCCUUUAAGAUCGAGAACAUGACAAGGAUGCCCACUUUCACCACUGUUAUUUAAUGUAGUACUGGAAGUCCUAGCUGGACCAACCAGACAAGAGCAAGAAAUAAAGGAAAUCCAAAUUGGAAAGGAAGAAGUCAAAUUAUCUUUGUUUGCAGAUGCUAUGAUCUUAUAUUUGGAAAAGCCUAGAGAUUCCACAAGAGAACUAUUAGAACUGAUAGACAAAUUCAGUAAAUUUGAAGGAUACAAAAUCAACAUACGAAAAUCAGUAGCAUUUCCAUAUGACAACAGUGAAUCUGAAAAAGAAAUCAGGAAAUUAAUCAUAUUUACAAUAGCCAAAAACAAAAUAAAAUACCUAAAAAUUAACCAAAGAAGUCAAAGAUGUCCACAAUGAAAAAUAUAAAACACUGAUGCAAAAUUUGAAGAGAAUAUAAAAAAAUGAAAAGAUAUUCCAUGUUAAUGGAUUGGAACAAUCAAUAUUGUUAAAAUAUUCAUACUACCUAAAACAAUCUAUAGAUUAAAUGCAACCCCUAUGAAAAUACCAAUAACACUCUUCACAGAAAUAGAGAAAAACAAUCCUAAAAUGUAUAUGGAACCAUAAAAAACCCAGAAUAGCCAAAGCUAUCCUCAGCAAAAAGAACAAAACUGAAGGAAUCACAUUAUCUGACUUCAAAUUAUACUACAGAGCUAUAGCAACCAAAACAGCAUGGUACAGUCAUAAAAACAGACACAUAGGCCAAUGAAACAGUAUAGAGAACCCAGAAACAAAUCCAUACAUCUACAGUAGACUCAUUUUCAACAAAGCCAAAUAUAUACAUUGGAGAAAGGAUAGUCUCUUCAAUAAAUGGUGCUGGGAAAACUGGAUAUCCUUAUGCGGAAGAAUAAAACUAGACUCCUAUUUCUCAUCACACACAGGAAUCAAAUCAAAAUGGACCAAAGAUUUAAAUAUAAGACCUUAAACUGUGAAACUACUCAAAGAAAACCCUGAGGAAACUACCCAGGACAUUGGUCUGGGUAAAGAUUUCUUGAGUAAUACUCCACAAGCACAGGCAGCCAAAGCAAGAAUGGACAAAUGGGAUCACAUCAACUUGAAAAGCAUCUGCACAGCAAAGGUAACCAUCCACAAAAUGAAGAGUCAACCCAAAGAAUGGAAGAAAAUAUUCACAAACUAUCCAUCUGACAAGGGAUUAAUAGCCAGAAUAUAUAAGGAGCUCAAAUGACUUUAUAGGAAAAAACCUAAUAAUCAGAUUUUAAAAUGAGCAAAUAUCUGAAUAAACAUAUCUCACAAGAAGAUAUACAAAUGGCAACAGGUAUAUGAAAAGGUGCUCAACAUCAUAGAUCAUCAGAAAAAUGCAAAUCAAACUACAAUGAGAUAUCACCUUACUCCAGGUAAAAUGGGUUAUAUCCAAAAGACAGGCAACAACAAAUGCCAAAGAGGAUGUGGAGAAAAGGGAACCCUUGCACACUAUGGAAUGGAAAUUAGUACAGUCACGAUGGAGAACAGUUUGGAGGUUCCUCAAAAAACUAAAAAUAGAGCUACCAUAUGAUCCAGCAAUCCCACUGGUAAGUAUAUACCCAAAAGAAGGGAAAUCAAUAUAUUGAAGAAGUAUCUGCUCUCCAGUGUUUAUUGCAGAAUGAUUCACAAUAGCCAAGAUCUGGAAGCAACCUAAGUGUCCAUCAACGGAUGAAUGGAUAAAGAAAAUGUGGUACACAUUCCAUAAAAAAGAAUGAGAUCCUGUCAUUUGCAACAACAAGUAUGGAGCUGGAGGACAUUAUGUUAAGUGAAGUAAGUCAGGCACAGAAAGACAAACUUGGCGUGUUCUCACUUAUUUGUGGGAGCUAAAAAUUCAAACAAACUCAUGGAGGUAGAGAGUAGAACAAUGGUUACUAGAGGCUGGGAAGGGUAGCAGGUUAGUGAGGAGUAAGGAGGGAAUGGUUAAUGGGUACAAAAAUAUAGUUAGAAUGAAUAAGAUCUAGUAUUUGAUAGCACAACAGGGUGACUAUAGUCAACAAUAAUUUAGUGUACAUUUGAAAAUAGCUCAAAGAGUAUAAUUGGAUUGUUUGUAAUACAAAGAAAGGAUAAAUGCUUGAGGCAAUGGAUCCUCCAUUUACCCUGAUGUGAUUAUUAUUUGUUGUAUGCCUGUGUCAAAAUAUCUCAUGUACCCUAUAAAUAUAUGUACCUACUGCGUACCCACAAAAAUUAAAGAUUAAAAAAAGAUUAAUUAUAACAAGAGAUUGCCUACUAAGAGGCAAAGAGAACUCCAAGGAAUAUAGUAAUAGCAGAUAUAAGGAACAGCUACUACCGCUAGGACUGAGGCAGAACACCCAAGGAGAGGAAAUCCCCACAGUCAUCAAAGUCCACUUUCAACCCCCCACCUGCAUCCCCAGGCUGAGAUCCAGACCUCAUUGGAGAGGGUGUGGGCGUGGCCUGUUGAAUACAAGAUACACAAUGCCAGAUGGCACUCUGGCAAAAGUUACUGAGAGGCCCCUUUAUGGAGCUGGGGGAGGCUCUCUGUGGGGAGGUACUGUACUGGUGAUAUCUGCUGGGAGGCUAUACUCUGGUGGACAUGAGGAAGUCAUUCCCAGGGAGAUGCCACACUAUGGAGCUUACUCUAAAGCUGCCCAUGGAGGUAGUGUACUGAGAAGUGGCUCUGGUUUAUCAGGAGGUGAUGCCACUGAAACUUGCUGAGGGUGAGCACUGGGGCUCCCACCUGUCCCUGGCCACUGGAUGCUAGAGGUGCAAGCCCAGAAGAAGCCUAUUGGAUUCUUCCUCCCCUCCCCUCCCUUCCCAUCUCUUCCUCCCUCCCUUUCCCCUCUUCUUCCUCCCUCUCCCCCUCUCCUCUCCCCUCCCCCUCUCCUCUCCCCUCCCUCUCUUCCCAUCCUUCCUCCUCUUCCCUUCCUUUCCCUUCCCCUCUUCCUUUCCCUUCCCCUCUUCCUUUCCCUUCCUCUCUUCCUUUCCCUUCCCCUCUUCCUUUUCCUUCCCUUCCUUCAGCUCCCCCUCUCUCUGACUCUUCCUUUCUCUCUCUCUCUCCCUGACUCCUCUAUACCCCUUUAACCAAAGUCAGUUUCUUUAGAAGACUCAGGACACUUCUUGUGUGUCUGGGCAUGGCAAUUUGUUCAUCAGUUUCCUAUGAGCAUAUUAAAACACUAAUUAUAACUAUGAAAAUGUACAGUUGGUGUAUAGUUAGCUCUUACACCAUAUCAGCUGAUGGGAAGUAAGACUGAAAAAAAAAUAGAAUAAUGUCUUUCAUUAGGAGAUUAGAUUGUGCUGUGUGCAUUUUGUAUCAUGUUUUCUUCUUUGCUCUUACAUAUAAAAAGCAGUGUUUCUACAUAAGAUUUGCAUGAGUGAAAAGAACACAAGGUUAGGAGAUAUCAUCCUGGUUGUGUCCCCAAGUGGUAUGGUGACCCUAAGCAAAUAACACUUUCUUUGAUUUCAGUUUUCUCAUCUUUCAAAUAGGAAUAACAUUUAUUCAUUCACGUACUUGUUAAUCCUGUCUGUAAACAUUUUUUAGGUUGCUUAUUUUGUGUCGGCCGCUGUGCUAGCACUGGAGAUUUGUAGCUUACUAAGUCAUUACCUGUCUCCUUAGGGAGCCACCUUGUAGUCCUAAAAAUAAAAUACAAUGCCCCAUUUUAGAGAGUUCUCAUAAAAAUCAAAUGAGAUGAUGGAUUAUAGGUACUUGAAAAAGAUUAAAAAAUCACUCUUCAAAUGUAAGAGGUUGUACUGAUAUUAAUAUCACAGUCAUCACAACCGCAGAAUGGCAAUUAACUUAUUGUGUUUUUUAUUUCAUUGACAUUAGGGCUAAGAGGAGGAUUGUAAGUGAUUCAGGUAAGGACCAGAACAUCUAUAUUCCCAAAGAAUGUUUCCCAUAAAUUAACAGUCAUUAAAAUUAACCUGUGAAGUUAAUUAUGGUAUGUGACACAGAUGGCUUUAAGCUUUAUGCAGUUAUGUUCUUGACCAGAUGAGGUCUUCCUUUUAUUAGUUUAUGAGUCACAGGGCAAGUGUGAUGGUGUGCUAGGAAUGCUUAAUCAGGAUCAGGAGCUAGAGUUACUUCUGGCCUUGGGGGGAAAAAGAAAACCUUUUCGGCAUAUUCAUUUUUGUUUUUUAUUGUGAAUAAAGCACCCUUUAUUGCUGCUCAGGGUGCAAUAAACCUCUCAAAUCCUUGGGCCCUGGAUCUUGUGUGACCUGCCCUUUCAUCUCUGAUGCUUUCGCUUCUGGAGUUUUGACAAUGUCGGAUCUCCUUCAUGCGCUCUUGCUCCUCUUUGCUCUCUCUCUUUUCCUUUAUCAAGGUCUCACCAGCUCUCUGGGAGGAGGAUUGCAUCAUCCCAACCACAGACUACCCGGAGCUUUGGGUGCUCUGUAGCUGCUCAUGUCCUUUCCAGUCCCUUCAACCAAGGAGAAGAAUGACAGAUUGCUGGCUGAGAGUAUCCAGAGUGGCUGUUAGCUAAUGAUUGCUAUAAAUUCUGAUAAUAAUAAUAGCAAUCAUAAAUAAUAUAAAACAGUGGCAUUGCAGCAGCUGGUAUUCAUGCUGCUCAGACUCUUAUUUAAAGAAUUUAAACUUUUUUUUUGGAGGAGACUUACAAGAAUCUUGGGUCACAUGGUACCACUUGGCCACAAGGACUUGACAAGUAGUAAUGAGCAGGGUUUCUUGAAGGCAGACAGAAAGAUAGGGACAGCUGUCCUGGAGAGUCACCCAUCCUGCAUCAGAACCGAAUAAGUGAGAAAUAAACCUUUAUUGUGUUAGGCCACGGAGGUUUUGGGUUUUGUUUGGUACAUUAGUGUAGCAUGACCUAUCUGUACUACAGUCACUCACAUCGCUGCUGUUAUGUAUUUUUUUAAAUAAGCUUAGCACUGGAGACCCCAUGGCUGGGUUAACUCUAGUUAAAAAUAUUUGUUACGGCCGGGCGCAGUGGCUCACGCCUGUA
rnacentral:lncRNA from 10 species